CGUGGGGUAAAAAAAAAGAGACUCUUGGUAAAUGUGUUUCUUUACUGUGGUUUCUGCCAGUGCAGACAGAGGGCAGUGCCUGUAUUAACCCGUCUGGCACUGCUGCAUUCUUGUCUCAUCCUGUCAGCAGGGAGGCCGAGGGAGAGGCGUUGGCUUUAACAGAGCGCAGACUUCACCACACUGGGGUCUGUUCUGGGAGUAACUAAUCCAGUCAGCUCUGUGAAUGACUCAUGCCGUUGCUACGACAUGGCACAGCAUCCUCUCUUGAUGUGACCUCAACACAACUGAGACACAAAAGCUGUGCUGUCAGGUUGACACGUCACAUAUGUCUGGUAUUUAAGGUCCAAUCCAGGUUUCCCAGGGCAACGUCAAGCACCUAUCAAAGUCUAUUUUUAAACUUUGUCGUCGCCUCAAAGUGGAGAAAGAACUACAAAGAUGUGAGUUCUUAACUAACUUUUAUUUUUCUAACUAUGAACAAAUAAUUAGAGUGCUAUAGGUAGUCGAAAAUAAACAAUAAGAAGGAACGAAAAAAAAAUCACUGACACGUUACAUUCAGAAUAUUUCAUCUGCAC